AUUGAACGCUGGCGGCAGGCCUAACACAUGCAAGUCGAACGAGUGGCGGACGGGUGAGUAAUGUCUGGGAAACUGCCUGAUGGAGGGGGAUAACUACUGGAAACGGUAGCUAAUACCGCAUACCAUCGGAUGUGCCCAGAGGGGAUUAGCUAGUGGGUGGGGUAAAGGCUCACCUAGGCGACGAUCCCUAGCUGGUCUGAGAGGAUGACCAGCAACACGGGAACUGGGACACGGCCCAGACUCCGACGGGAGGCAGCAGGGGGGAAUAUGGCACAAUGGGCGCAAGCCGGAGGAAGCCAGGCCGCGUGUAGGAGGAAGGCUUUCGGGUGGUAAAGUACUUUCAGCGGGGAGGCGUUACCCGCAGAAGAAGCAACGGCUAACUCCGUGCCAGCAGCCGCGGUAAUAC
rnacentral:rRNA from 1 species